rnacentral:misc_RNA from 1 species
GGAGAUAAACAAGUUCGAAACCGUUGAAUAUUGAGAAGUCAGAAGAAGAGUUGACAAACAAGCCAGGAUAAUAGAUCUGUUUUAAAAUGUCUUUGAAGCCAUGUUUGGGAGACAUGUGGGCUGAGAACACAUUAGAGCGAGCUUCAAGGGUAGGGCAGGAAGUGCUGGAAAGAACCAGGGCCAGGAAGGUGGAGUGGCCAUCACACAAGCAGUAUGGCCACAACCCUGUACAGGACCCCCAUGUGUACACGUCGCUGGAUGAUGCACUGGCCAGUAUGCUGCACUAUAUGUCGGUGACCACCAAGAACUGCAAGCGUUAUUACAACAGUGCAGGCAGAUCCCAGCGGAGUGCCUCGGACACCCUCCACUGCAGCAGAUUCCACACCCCAACAUACACCGCAACACACAAGACAAACCCACUUCAGCGGUCAGAGGAUGUGCACAUUCUGGUCGAGCCUGGAACCUACGCCGUGUCGGCCGGAGCCUGGGGCACACAGUACCAGCAGAAACAUGUCGUCCACGUCCGAGAGGGAAACACCGUCAACAUGGACUUUGUGUUAUGACAGCCUCAGCCUGACAUCGGCACAUCCUUCUUUUAAUAUAAGUCAUACUAGUCAUUAUCAUGAUUAUCUUACUGUUGAUAUAGCAGUCACUAUAUUAAACACAGAUGGCUUUUUUGGCCACCAUGUCAAUGAUGUGAACAUUAAAAUUUGAUAUAUCUCUGCCAAUGCAAUAUCCUGUCACAUCGAUGCCAAAUAUUAUAUUGAUAUAACUUGCCCAAACGUUAUUGCCAAAGUUUAUAAUAAGUGAUAAGGCUUCCAUUCCCUUUUUAUUGUUUUGUUACCCAUGCUGUGUCAAUUCUACAAAUAUAGUGAGCAGUGUCAUUAUUGGAGUUGUUUUUUAAGGAACUAGAGUUCUUCCAGUUUGGACACAGAAAACAUUCAGAACAAUCUGUGUUCACUUAUUUCAAAUGUAGUGCAUUGUUUACUGUUUCUAUACUUUUACAAAUAUAGAGUUGUGAGAUUUAAUUAUACAGAAUCUCUUUCAGCUUUACAAUAAGAAACUGUCAUUAUGUAAGGCUAUCAAUUUACAUUAAAUCAGUUAUACAAAUAGCCUACAGCAUUAUAGCUUUAACAGUGCAAGUGUAACAUAUUUAGGAUAAGUUCAAUGAUUUAGAACUGUGUGUGAGUAAUUCAGUAUUAUUUUGGUGCCUAAUUUCAUUUAAAUCCGACCUGUCACUCCAAUAUGAUACCUCUCUGCAUGAUGUUCUGGAGAUGCAGAUUUCUGAAUCAAGGUGGAAGAGGAAUGAAGCCAAAUUGUUUAACAAACCUGACAUCUGAUUGGCUCAAGAUCCCACUCAUCUGAUUGGGCUGUCAAAGGUCACUCAGGGUUCACUACAUGCGUCCUUCUAUGGAGGUGUCCUGAGAUCUUAAUGCAGAGAGGUAUCAUAUUGGAGAUGAGAUCUAAUUUGAAGGAGAUAGUGCUACCCCAAAUCAUGUCAAUCAAAAUGACUGCCCAAACAAAAUAGUGUUUCUCCUUUGACAAAUUUGAGAUGUUUCAACAUGUUCAAGGGUUUUGUCAGAUGUCAUUAUCAAAGAGAAGGGGUGAUAAGGGCAGGUGAUUAGAAAUAUGUUGUUUUUAUUUGGAUUAAUCAUGCUUAUUAUCACCUGUUCAAUGAAUAUUAAGUUACCCCUGAUGAAGGAAAGUUAUGAAACUGGCUCUGGAGUUUCUGGUUCUGAACAGGCUCUGAUUCUAAUGGAAGUUUGUGUGGAACAUUACUGAUAGACUUUUCUAUAAUUCUUUGUUCCACUAAAAGUCAUACCUUCUUUCAUCUCCCUAAUGAGAUUCCUAUAGCGGUGCUUAACAAGUGGUAAAUAUCAAGAUAACUCAAUCUUGCCUGUUUCUUUGUCUGUGGUAGAUGUUUUCAGACUAAUUGUCCCAAGCAGUGCUAUGAUGUAAUGUAGGUCUGCAACAGCUGUGGAGAUGAUGUACAGGGCUUAGAUCCACUUCAACAGACUGAUGUUACCAGAGGUGUUACAGGGCUUAGAUCCACUUCAACAGACUGAUGUUACCAGAGGUGUUACAGGGCUUAGAUCCACUUCAACAGACUGAUGUUACCAGAGGUGUUACAGGGCUUAGAUCCACUUCAACAGACUGAUGUUACCAGAGGUGUUACAGGGCUUAGAUCCACUUCAACAGACUGAUGUUACCAGAGGUGUUACAGGGCUUAGAUCCACUUCAACAGACUGAUGUUACCAGAGGUGUUGGAACUGCUGUACUUUACACAGAAAGCCUCAAAACAAGUAUCACUUAACGGUUAAUAUAGUGGAACCCUGUUAAACUGGAGAGUAGCAUUUCCAUUGAUAUCAUCCUGAUUAACAACUGUCCAGAUUUCACUCUAAUAAACCUUUGUAUAAGUGCGAGGUUUCUGGAUUAGCAGGGUCUGGACUAAGUUUUCAGUAUACAUGUUGUAUCUUGAUUGCUGUAGUUCUUGGUUUUCAGGACCAUUUACCCUUUUUUUAAGUCUGUGCAAUAAUCUGUGUGCGUGCAUUCGUGUGUCCAUCUUAUGAUAGGAUGUGCAAUACAUAUUCUUCCUAUUGUGUAGUCUUGUGUUGAAGAAUGUGCCUGUUGAACAUAUUUUGCAAUGGUUGAGUGAGUGUGUAAUGUCACGGGAGCAGCAAUAUUGCAUUCAUUAAUAGUGAUUGUGGGGCUCAAGUCUUUGAAAGGCAUUUAAAAGUGAUACACAUAAGGAAGAAAAUUUAUGUAUGUCAACUUCUUUAUUAUGAGGAACACAACAUUCUGAGUGUAUACUUACUCGUUCAUCAUUCACCUGAAGGAGUAAGUAUAUACAUAUAUAUAUGUACUGCAAAACGUUGUGCUCCUCAUAAUAAAAAAGUUGACAUCCAUAAAUUCUCUUCCUGAUUGUGGUGCUGCUAAGAGAAAUUGUGCAUGUUUUCAUUCUUACUUAUUUUCAAAAACAUUUAGGUUAAUUUCAUGCCUGAACAAUAUCUUUCAUGUUACAUGUCCAAAUCUCACCACAAAUAGCUGUAAGAUUGUUGAUGCUGUGUUGAGCAAUAUUCACUCACAUAUUCCAGUAUCAGGGUUAUAUUGUUGGUUUGGAUAUAUGUGAUGUGAUAAUGGUACAUAUUUACUUAUAUCACAGUGCAGAAUAAAGUUUAUUUUACUAAAUUUA